rnacentral:rRNA from 1 species
ACUUAGGGCUUGAAUAGCCAAAAGACACCAGAUCCUAUCUGAACAUGGAAGCUAAGCAGGGUCAGCCCCGCUUCGUACUUGGAUGGGGACCACCAAUGCAUAUCAGGUGCUGUAGGCC